GAGGGUAUAGCUCAGAGGUAGAGUGCCUGCUUGCCAUGCACAAGGUCCUGGGUUCAAUCCACAGUUCCUCCA
rnacentral:tRNA from 1 species